rnacentral:rRNA from 1 species
AUUGAACGCUGGCGGAAUGCUUUACACAUGCAAGUCGAACGGCAGCACGGGGCAACCUGGUGGCGAGUGGCGAACGGGUGAGUAAUACAUCGGAACGUGCCCAUGUCGUGGGGGAUAACGUAACGAAAGCUACGCUAAUACCGCAUACGAUCUACGGAUGAAAGCGGGGGAUCGCAAGACCUCGCGCGAUUGGAGCGGCCGAUGGCAGAUUAGGUAGGUGGUGGGGUAAAGGCCUACCAAGCCGACGAUCUGUAGCUGGUCUGGCAGGACGACCAGCCACACUGGGACUGGGACACGGCCCAGACUCCUACGGGAGGCAGCAGUGGGGAAUUUUGGACAAUGGGCGCAAGCCUGAUCCAGCCAUUCCGCGUGCAGGAUGAAGGCCUUCGGGUUGUAAACUGCUUUUGUACGGAACGAAACGGUCCUGGUUAAUACCCGGGGCUAAUGACGGUACCGUAAGAAUAAGCACCGGCUAACUACGUGCCAGCCGCCGCCGUAACAC